rnacentral:rRNA from 1 species
AUUGAACGCUGGCGGCAUGCCUUACACAUGCAAGUCGAACGGCAGCACGGGAGCUUGCUCCUGGUGGCGAGUGGCGAACGGGUGAGUAAUACAUCGGAACGUACCCUGAAGUGGGGGAUAACGUAGCGAAAGUUACGCUAAUACCGCAUAUUCUGUGAGCAGGAAAGAGGGGGAUCGCAAGACCUCUUGCUUUAGGAGCGGCCGAUGUCGGAUUAGCUAGUUGGUGAGGUAAAGGCUCACCAAGGCGACGAUCCGUAGCGGGUCUGAGAGGAUGAUCCGCCACACUGGGACUGAGACACGGCCCAGACUCCUACGGGAGGCAGCAGUGGGGAAUUUUGGACAAUGGGCGCAAGCCUGAUCCAGCCAUGCCGCGUGAGUGAAGAAGGCCUGGUUGUAAAGUCUCUUCGGUGGGGUAAGGAAAGUUAG